GGAUCUUAAGCUAAUCCAGUGAAAGCGCCGGUUUGAAGAACCGGAGAGCUCAGUGCGACACUGAGAAGGUCCACCA
rnacentral:tRNA from 1 species